rnacentral:rRNA from 1 species
CCUACGGGAGGCAGCAGUAAGGAAUAUUGGACAAUGGACGAAAGUCUGAUCCAGCCAUGCCGCGUGCAGGAUGACAGCCCUACGGGUUGUAAACUGCUUUUAUACAGGAAGAAACACUCCGACGUGUCGGAGCUUGACGGUACUGUAAGAAUAAGGAUCGGCUAACUCCGUGCCAGCAGCCGCGGUAAUACGGAGGAUCCAAGCGUUAUCCGGAAUCAUUGGGUUUAAAGGGUCCGCAGGCUGUUUUUUAAGUCAGAGGUGAAAUCCUGCAGCUCAACUGUAGAACUGCCUUUGAUACUGGAAAACUUGAGUUAUUGUGAAGUGGUUAGAAUGUGUGGUGUAGCGGUGAAAUGCAUAGAUAUCACACAGAAUACCGAUUGCGAAGGCAGAUCACUAACAAUAUACUGACGCUCAUGGACGAAAGCGUGGGGAGCGAACAGGAUUAGAUACCCUGGUAGUCCACGCCGUAAACGAUGGAUACUAGCUGUUCGUCUAACAUUGGUUAGAUGAGUGGCUAAGCGAAAGUGAUAAGUAUCCCACCUGGGGAGUACGGUCGCAAGACUGAAACUCAAAUGAAUUGACGG